rnacentral:tRNA from 1 species
GGCUUUAUAGUCAAUGUAAUGAUGUAAGAUUGCAAGUCUUGAGUAGUAUUUUUACUAAAGCUU